AUUGAACGCUGGCGGCAGGCCUAACACAUGCAAGUCGAGCGGAUGAAGGGAGCUUGCUCCUGGAUUCAGCGGCGGACGGGUGAGUAAUGCCUAGGAAUCUGCCUGGUAGUGGGGGAUAACGUCCGGAAACGGGCGCUAAUACCGCAUACGUCCUGAGGGAGAAAGUGGGGGAUCUUCGGACCUCACGCUAUCAGAUGAGCCUAGGUCGGAUUAGCUAGUUGGUGGGGUAAAGGCCUACCAAGGCGACGAUCCGUAACUGGUCUGAGAGGAUGAUCAGUCACACUGGAACUGAGACACGGUCCAGACUCCUACGGGAGGCAGCAGUGGGAAAUAUUAGACAAUGGGCGAAAGCCUGAUCCAGCCAUGCCGCGUGUGUGAAGAAGGUCUUCGGAUUGUAAAGCACUUUAAGUUGGGAGGAAGGGCAGUAAGUUAAUACCUUGCUGUUUUGACGUUACCAACAGAAUAAGCACCGGCUAACUUCGUG
rnacentral:rRNA from 1 species